rnacentral:tRNA from 1 species
CAAUACUAUUUUGGCAGAAAAAUGUAAUAAAUUUAGAAUUUAUAAAUGUAUAAUUUUNN